UACGUAGGGUGCGAGCGUUGUCCGGAAUUAUUGGGCGUAAAGAGCUUGUAGGCGGUUUGUCGCGUCUGCCGUGAAAAUCCGGGGCUCAACCCCGGACUUGCGGUGGGUACGGGCAGACUAGAGUGUGGUAGGGGAGACUGGAAUUCCUGGUGUAGCGGUGAAAUGCGCAGAUAUCAGGAGGAACACCAGUGGCGAAGGCGGUGCUCUGGGCCGGUACUGACGCUGAGGAGCGAAAGCGUGGGUAGCAAACAGG
rnacentral:rRNA from 1 species